GGAGGGUUGUCCGAGCGGCCGAAGGAUCUGGUCUUGAAAACCAGCAAGCAGAAAUGCUUCGUGGGUUCGAAUCCCACACCCUCCG
rnacentral:tRNA from 1 species